UACGUAGGGGGCAAGCGUUGUCCGGAAUCAUUGGGCGUAAAGAGCGCGUAGGCGGUCCGGUAAGUCCGCUCUGAAAGCCCGGGGCUCAACCCCGGGAGGCGGGCGGAUACUGUCGGGCUAGAGUCCGGAAGAGGCGAGUGGAAUUCCUGGUGUAGUGGUGAAAUGCGCAGAUAUCAGGAGGAACACCGAUGGCGAAGGCAGCUCGCUGGGACGGUACUGACGCUGAGGCGCGAAAGCGUGGGGAGCAAACAGG
rnacentral:rRNA from 1 species